rfam:Candidatus Lloydbacteria bacterium RIFCSPHIGHO2_02_FTLL_51_22 rifcsphigho2_02_scaffold_13294, whole genome shotgun sequence.
GGCAGGUGCCGGAUAGUCACUCUCCGUAAGGGAGGAAUCUUUUAUGGGGAGAGGAAAGUCCGAACACGUCCCGCCUCAUCGGCGGGAGGAUGGUAGCGGGUAACGCCCGUCCGGGGAAACCCGAGGGAUGCGAGCAGAGACGCCACUGGUCGAGAGGCCCGUGGCACCCGACAGUCGUCGGGUGAGUCCCGUCGGUAACGGCGGGGGUGAAACGGCAAAAUUCCUACCUACGUGCAAGGCCGUAUCACCUUGCGCAAAGCACAAGGAAAUUCCAAAUCACAAAACCCAAAUCACAAACAAACUACAAAUCCUAAUGGCCAAAAUCAAAAACGCUGCGUUUCGGUCAUUGUGAUUCUAUGUUUAGAAUUUGUUUGGAAUUUGCUACUUGGUUAUUGGGAUUUUCUCGCGCUUUGCGCGAGGUGGGGUGCCGCUUGAGUCCGUGAGUAAUCACGGACCUAGAUAAAUAACUAUCGCCCCUCACAUAAGAUUGGCGUUGUCCCGUUUUUGACGGAACUUGCGCUACGCGCGACGCCAAUCUAUGUGAGGGGUACAGAAUUCGGCUUAUAGGCACCUGCCGUAU